UAUCCAUAGCGUCUUUCCUUCCGCCCCGAGCAGCCGCGCUGCUAGCGCUUGCGAACCCCGACGCCACCUCAAUUCCUCCGCGUUCGGUGCGACGCCGGAGCAUGCCUCGCAUGCCGGCGAGCUGACCAUCGAGCAGCAGCCACCGCGCCGCCCUCCUGCUUUGCCUUUUUCCCGUCCUUCCCUCCUCUCUCACCUCUCUCUGCCUCGCCUACACUGCGACACAGGGACGCCGCCGGCACGUGGAACGAGGCCGCCCCAACUGGAUCCACAUCGUCCUCCAUCGCCUGCUCUCCGCCGUCCGUCCUCACCGCGAAUCGGUCGUGCCGGUAGCCGUCGUUGCCAGAUCCUAGCUUGGCCACCCGCUGAAAGAUCCAGCGCCCUGCAACACUAACCUAUGCUCCAAUCUUUUCCCUGCCCAGCUCCAAUCUUUGAUCCGUCCAUGUUUGAGGUAAUGUGUACAGAGAACGAGAUUGCCGAGCCAACUCAGCAGGGAAGUAUCUAUCUGUUACUGCUAUUUCUGCAAUUUUGUAAGCCAGAUUUGUGCCAAGUGCAUUGCAUAAUAUAUCUCUAAAGGUCAUUGCUAUUUCUAUGAUCUUCCAUCAAUUUUUAUUACAACAGAAAAUGGUCCUUAUCACAUAUAUAGUAUGCACUGGACAACUGAUAUAUAUGAUGGUUGCAAUGGGCUGAUGGCGCAUCUACUCACACCUUGGACAUUCAUCGCAAGCAAGUAUGUAUCUUAAGUUCCAUGAUGCAGUUAACAUUUAAUCAUAUUAAUAUUAUCUCUCUGAUAUCCCGGACACAGCAUAGAUUUUACAAGCAAAACUUUAUCAAACUAGAUUUGUUGCACCUGCACUGCAUGUUGAUGUAAUUGGGCUGGACUAAUUUUGUGUUUAAAGUUGUCCCUGAUGUACGUACAUUAUUAGCUAUCAUGGAAACGACAAAUAGCUGAUGUUUGUCUAUAGUUACUUCAUGGUAUGUUGCAUAUUCCUCUAAAUUUGUGAGAUUUGAGAUAGUAGAAACAACACACCGUGAUCUUCAGGCCUUGCCUGAUGCUUCAUUAUUUGAGGACCAUGCAAUAAAAUUUAAUUUCCAGUUUAUGUAGGAUUAUUAGUCAUUUGAUGCGGAAAGUUUUAGGAUUUCAGUAUGUGUUUAGUUACGCUCCUACAGUUUAUGCAAGAAAAUUAACAGAAAGGAAUUGCAUGAACUAUUCUUUUUAUUCAUAAAUAUGAGGCAUGUACAACUAUUUUUCUCUAUUGCGAAGAAAAACAUUCCUUGCCCCAAACGAGCCAGCACACAAAUAAGAGUGACUCCAAGCUUUUUUCAGAACUGAGUUAGUAGUUACGUUAUCCGUAAGAGUAUCUUAGGUUUUAAGUGACAAUCUUCAAACUCUCUCUGCUUUAUUAAUUUACUUUUUAUAAAUAAUAUGAAGACUCAAAUUUGAAAAAUUAAACCAAUAAGUGUAUUUAGUGAAGUCAGAGGUCUGUUUGGAAUGUUCUUAGUGCAAGUCUGACAAUACAGUCAUGCUUCUUCUAUUUACUUUCAGUUCUAAAUACAUUUGUGAUUUUCUAUAUGCUGUACUACUAAACUGGGUGUGCUAAACCAAACAUAUAGUAUAUGAAAAGGAUUCUAAAAUGUGAGCUUAUAUUGACAACUCUUGAAAAUAUAUGGUUGUUUUACUGUUUUUGCCAUGAACUUGGGGAGCUUGGGAUGGAGUAUGGUGUCAAUGAUCGGUAUAUACCAGAACAAUAUUUUUGUGAUAUUGUAUAUACUAACUUAGUGAUAAUGGAGUAUAUACAACAUUUUUUCCAUGGACUCUACCGCAUUUUUGAACUGGUUAGAAUAGCUGAUGCCUUUUUUAUCUUCCUUGUGGUAUAUGCUACCAUCAAAGGGAGUAUAUAAGGUACUAAUUUCAAGUAUAUACUAUUGUACUAUAUUUUGUCUAUAUACAUCUACAACCAAGUAGUAUGUACACUGCUCUUUGUGCACGGCAGUAUAUACAUCAUUUUUUGUAAGGCAAUAUAUAAUACCUUUUUUUGUGAACCAGUAUACUACUUUAUUUUAGUCAGUAUAUACAUAAUUUUUGGUCGAUAUAUACUACUUUUCUGUAGUCGGCAUAUACUACUGUUCGUGAUAUAGUAAAGGGUAAAGCAGCGUGCACAUGACACGCAGCAGCCGUUGUCGACUAUACGGUGGUGCCGCUGCAUCGAUCUAUCAGUGCAUGUCACGCCACCACCGUUUCUUAUUGCUGCCGUUGUCGAUGAGAUUGGUGGUGCCGUCACAUGGAUCGAUCAGUGCACACCAUGCUGCCAUGUUGUCGACGAGAUGGUGGUGCCGUCUUAUCCACGAACAGUUCACCUACUCAUUAUCGUCGCAUCCGCUAUGUGACUAGCUGCGUCAAUGGCUUUGUGCCUCGAACCAGAUUGCUUUCAUGCAAAGCCUGUCAUGUUUGCCUCUUAAUGACAACAUCCGCUAAGUCAGUUCUCUCUCACUCUCACGCUCUCUCUCUCUCUACUAUUGCAACUAACUGCGAUGAUCUUCUCCAGGUUUUUUGGGCUAGAUACUGAGAUGGCACCACUGCGUUGCUGAAGUUAAACCCUGUUUAUUGGGACGUACAAGCCGGCGGCAAGCACACAUGGCGGCCGGAGACAGGCCAUGUUUUUCCAAUGACUGCUGCUAGGAUUGAUGUCCUAUUGCAGGAGAAACAAUGGCAACUGUCGCAUCGUUUUGUCCAGCGAUGAUAUCAUCCUUGUCUAUUAUUUUGUUGACAAUCACCACAGGCACUCAAUUCACGAGCCAAACAUUGAUGUGGGCUACCAUGGGGGCUAGGAAGCAGCAUCAGCUUGAAGCUAACUUAAAAUUAACUCUAAUGAGCAUUUGGUCUUUAUUCUGUCUCGAUACAAACACAUCAACGUGUGGGCUACCAUCCAUUGAUGCGCAGAGACCAGGUUACGAUGGCAACAUUUAGGCCAAUUUUUUAUCUACCGAUCGAUCUACAAUUUCCUUUUUCUAUUUAGAGUUGAUCUCUAUUUUCUCUUUUUCUGUUCAUGCUUGUGGCAAAAUUGGAGAUAUUCAUGUCUCACGGGUGUUGUUGCUGCAGCCCAUUCAUGGCGAGGAUACAUGGCUGAUGGCCCACAGAUCCUUAGGGGAUGAAAGGAUCCCCACAUGACUACAGGAAUAGCACUAAAUAAAUUGUGUACUAACUAGAGCAAUGAUAUAUUUCAUAGGUCUAGGAUAUAUAUGUGAAAUAACAAUUUACUUCAUAUAACUACUAGCCUGACAAGUAUUUGGCAUUCUGUCUUUUUAAUAAAGUAGCUGAUUUUUCUA